rnacentral:tRNA from 1 species
GCUGGCAUAGCACAGUGGUAGUGCGCCUGACUACGAAGCUAUUUGCUUUUCGCCUGGAUCAGGAGGUCGUGGGUUCGAACCCCAUUGUCGGUU